UACAGAGGUGGCAAGCGUUGUUCGGAAUUACUGGGCGUAAAGGGCGCGUAGGCGGUUCGAUAAGUCCCGUGUGAAAUCCCUCGGCUCAACUGAGGAACUGCACGGGAAACUGACGGGCUUGAGUUCGGGAGAGGGAAGCGGAAUUCCGGGUGUAGCGGUGAAAUGCGUAGAUAUCCGGAGGAACACCGGUGGCGAAGGCGGCUUCCUGGACCGACACUGACGCUGAGGAGCGAAAGCGUGGGGAGCGAACAGG
rnacentral:rRNA from 1 species